GAUUAACGCUGGCGGCGUGCCUAAUACAUGCAAGUCGAGCGAACAGACGAGGAGCUUGCUCCUCUGACGUUAGCGGCGGACGGGUGAGUAACACGUGGAUAACCUACCUAUAAGACUGGGAUAACUUCGGGAAACCGGAGCUAAUACCGGAUAACAUGUUGAACCGCAUGGUUCAACAGUGAAAGACGGUCUUGCUGUCACUUAUAGAUGGAUCCGCGCCGCAUUAGCUAGUUGGUAAGGUAACGGCUUACCAAGGCAACGAUGCGUAGCCGACCUGAGAGGGUGAUCGGCCACACUGGAACUGAGACACGGUCCAGACUCCUACGGGAGGCAGCAGUAGGGAAUCUUCCGCAAUGGGCGAAAGCCUGACGGAGCAACGCCGCGUGAGUGAAGAAGGUCUUCGGAUCGUAAAACUCUGUUAUUAGGGAAGAACAAAUGUGUAAGUAACUAUGCACGUCUUGACGGUACCUAAUCAGAAAGCCACGGCUAACUACGUG
rnacentral:rRNA from 1 species